rnacentral:rRNA from 1 species
AGCGCAGGCGGUUUCUUAAGUCUGAUGUGAAAGCCCACGGCUCAACCGUGGAGGGUCAUUGGAAACUGUAAAACUUGAGUGCAGAAGAGGAAAGUGGAAUUCCAUGUGUAGCGGUGAAAUGCGCAGAGAUAUGGAGGAACACCAGUGGCGAAGGCGACUUUCUGGUCUGUAACUGACGCUGAUGUGCGAAGCGUGGGAUCAAACA